GAUAAACAGCUUCCCCACUCCAGUUCGUCUCUUUGAGUCUUCUUGAGACAUCAUUGUUCUGUUAAUUUGAAUUCCUUCGUUUUUGUCGUAUAUCUCCACUUCUUGUUCUUUUCUUUUCCUGUGAUUCCAUUCAAAAAUGAAUUCCAUCAGAUUCUACGCUCUACCGAUCGUCGGUCUCUUCUUGAUGGCACUUUUGAGUGUAAGCCAAGGCCAGGGCAUCGCUCCUUCACCCGCGCCGGAGGGUUUUCCGGCUAACGGCGGCAAGGCAAUUGAUCAAGGGAUUGCGUGCAUACUUCUACUUCUUGCCCUUGUCAUCACCUAUACCUUACAUUAAUUUUCUUUUCUCUUCUACCUCGAUUUUUUUUUUAUUUAAUCAAUCGUGCGUUUCUCUUAAUAUUCACAUCCAGAGAGAUUCAUUAUUUUUGUAUAUGUAAUGUACCACAGAUUGGAAUAUUAUUUAUUUCAUUUCACAUA